AUGCUGACAAUGCAUUUUUCAUUGGUUCAUUUCUUGAUGUUCCCAUCGGACAAGAUCUUACCAGUUCAGGUGGAAAAAGGCCUGCAGGAGGUAGUUGGCUCUCUGUAAGUCAAGGCAUUGCUGAGGACACUUCUGAUCUGGUUUCUGGUUUUGCAACAGUUGGUGAUGGACUGAGUGAAUCUAUUGAUUACCCCAACGAAUAUUGGGACUCCGAUGAGUAUGAUGACGACGAUGAUGUUGGCUACACAAGACAACCUAUUGAGGACGAGACAUGGUUUUUAGCUCAUGAAAUUGAUUACCCCAGUGAUAAUGAGAAGGGAACAGGGCAUGGGAGUGUUCCAGAUCCUCAAAGAGAGCAAAACCGAGAAGAAGAUGAUGAACAAUCUUUUGCAGAAGAGGAUUCCUGCUUCUCAGGUGAGCGAUAUUUCCAAUCAAAAAAUGUUGGUCCAGUUAGGCCUGCAGAUGAUCACAUAGGGCUGUCAG
rnacentral:misc_RNA from 1 species